UACGAAGGGGGCUAGCGUUGCUCGGAAUCACUGGGCGUAAAGGGUGCGUAGGCGGCUCUUUAAGUCAGAGGUGAAAUCCUGGAGCUCAACUCCAGAACUGCCUUUGAUACUGAGGAUCUUGAGUACGGGAGAGGUGAGUGGAACUGCGAGUGUAGAGGUGAAAUUCGUAGAUAUUCGCAAGAACACCAGUGGCGAAGGCGGCUCACUGGCCCGUUACUGACGCUGAGGCACGAAAGCGUGGGGAGCAAACAGG
rnacentral:rRNA from 1 species